UUCAUAAGACACUGCCAAUCAACAGUUUUGCUUGGGAACUAUAAAGUUCAAGUCUUAUAGAUAAUUUGGGGAAGUCGUUGAUUUGUGACAUUUCCAGGUAGAGGACAACUUCAUCUUUGUACGCGUCCGAUUCUGGAACCAUAAUUUCGUCAUGACUCGCGUUUACACCCAGAGCAUAAGGGGCCUGUCCUCGUCUCCAUUACUACCUGUGCCGGUCACCUCCCUGCAAACGAACGUCACAACGGUCGGACAUUCGGGAACAGUAAACUCCCUCGAGGUGCCGGGGCGGUCCAACUUCGCCGCGACAGCACAAAAAUGUUGUGGGAUCUUUCAAGUCUGCCUGGGGACCAUUGCAGUGGUACUAGGGGGCGCUGCAUGGGGUGUUCAAGACGGUUUGAUCACGUAUGUGUUCAGUUGUGGGUUCGUCGCUGGAGGUUUUCUCGUGAUAGGAGGCAGUUUGGCCAUAUAUUCAACUCGGACUGAGAGGACUUCAAUCAUCGUCGCUUGCCUUGUCAUGUCCGUUUUCAGUGCGUUCGUUGAUUUCCUAUACCUAUGUAUCUCGUGCGCAAGUCUCUGGUUUGAUUUCACCCCAGAAAUGGACAUCUUGGAGGCGGAUGGCCCCAUCGGCAUCAUUGAUGUAUUCGGUGCCUUAGUCGGACUGGUUGGUUUGGUGAUUGCCAUCAUUCAAGUCGUCAUAUGUUCGCGGACUGUUUGCGGAUGCUGCGCGAAGGAUACAGUGUUAGUCGUUGUGACGUCAGAGGAGGAUCCCUCAUCGCCGACAUUGAUAACGCCCUUGCUGUCCUCACUAAACUGUUCUAUAAAUACUUCAACGGAUCGCCAGGGUUACGGCUCCCAGCAGCGACUACAUUCCUCAUUGGUCGUCUGAAAACUUAAUCUGAACGUUGUUUUUCAAUGAAAUAACAUCUUUUUCGUUGUACAUGUAUAUACAUGUACUGUAUUCAUUUUCGCGAGCGGAAUUUUUUGCAGAGAGGGCUACACCAGCGAAAAUUAACCGUAUUUGCAUGAAAAUGUUCGGUGAAUCACGUCAUUAUUACCAUCCUGGCACCAGUGAUUUUCAAUAUACUCCACCUACUCUCGAUAUUUCAAACGACGUAGGAGUAAAAAAAGCCUGCAUUAUUUAUAUUAGUACAGACUGGUGCAAUAAUCAAUCCCAACAUUCUCAUGAAAUACAUUCUGUGCAUCUUCGAAAUGAACAUCAUCAAGGAGACAAGAAACAUUUUCGUCUGUCUCUGCUUAGGAUACACUCGGAAAUGAUAACCUGGCACCCCUGGUGGUGGAAAGAUAAACUAGUAGGCACCACUUUCAGGGAGACACGACAGUUUAUUUGUAUUUACUUUCAGCCAUCAAUAUUUUACACACAAUUAUGUACUUAAGAUAUAAGAAAGUAUUUAAGUAACACUGCUAAUAACACGGCCAGGAGCCAUCCUGUCAUUCAAAAGUAAGGGCUGCAACGCAGUGGCCAUGCAACUCCGCAAGGUCGUGACGGCCCCUUGCCAAUUUUACAGUCAUUGCCGCCUCGGAAAUCUUGUUACUGUAUGAUAUACAAUUCUUGCCUAGUACCCGGGAUUAAUAUAUGUUAGUACCUAUAAUCCGUGCAUUUUGCGGCAUAUAAGGCAAUACACUCGUGUCAAACAUUUUGUCAAUUUUUAUUUUUUGAAAUAAAUGAAGUGUGAUACAUGA